CCCAACAUACGUGCGACUGUCAGCGCACAUCACAGCUUCCUCUGGAGCUGGACCAACUCGCAGAUGACUCUACAUCUAUGCGCAGCGACACUGAUGUUAAAGUCACAGAGAAGGAAGGUGUUGUUGCGGCAGCCGAGCAAGCAAAGAAGGAAGAUAGUCACAAACGCGAGAUCAAUCGGGAUGGUGAGAAAGAGGAGAAGAGCAAAAAACUUCGGAAAGCUGAUUCGAAAGAGAGCAUCCCAACGUCCGUUGAGAAAAAGCCGGCUCCAAAGCCCCCUGUUCCGGUUGAUGUGAGUGAGAAAAAAUCAUCGCGUGAAAAAGGUCCAGCGCCACCUCCUCCGGCAGUUCGGCAAAACAGCAAAAGUGAAGAUAAGGAGAAUGUGCCGAAAGUGACUGAGGCCUCGAGUGGCACGGAGUUAUCGGAAAAAUCGUCUACGAUUAACGACAAGCGAAACGAGAAGAUGACAGCGGAAAACCAGGCUGAUCACGUACGACAGAGUCUUAAUGGUGAAGAACAAAAGGGACGAGUCGACGAUAAAAAGGCAUCGGAAGGUAGCCCGGAAAUCGAGAAGAAGAAAGGCUUGACGGAGAACAAAAAAGACGUUGAUAUGAGAGCAAAAUCUGUGGAAAAUAAGAGAACAACGGUCGAAAAAGAUCAAGAAAGUUUAGAGGAAAAACGGAAAUCAGCACCAGUUCAACCGGAGUCUUCGGAUGUUUGGAAAAAACCCGUUUUCAGUAAGCAGAGCUCUCUGGACGAAAAACGGGGAAGCGAGAGUAAAGUUAUCGAGGAACGACCACGUUACGAGAAGCAGAUAUCGCUCCAAGAAAGUCGUCAAAGUCUCGAAGAAAAGAGAAAAUCAGUAGAGAGCAAGCUAAACGCAGUCUUGGAGAAGCGUAUUUCUAUGGAAGCGGUGAAACGCAUGUCCGACGCUUCAAUAGAAACAUUGAAACGUAGCACACAGUCGAGCAGCGAAACUUCGUUGUUCUCGGAGAAGAACAACGCUCGUGCUUUCUCGAGUGAGAAUAUUAAGACGGGUGGCGAAUUCGGAACAAACAAGACUGAACGACCGGCCAAAAGUCGUAGCGCUGGAUCGUCGAGAAACGAUUCCCUUGAGAACUUUGACCAACAAUUUGACGGCGAUAGAAAAAAUCGAAUUCACGAGGACACGGUCGAUCGCAGUUCGAAUCGAGAAAGAAGGGGUUCGGGUGUCAAUGUUUCUGUCAUUACAUCGACGCCGAUUAGAAGCAAGAGCCUCUCAAGAACGGAAAGUGGCGAUAAUGUUGUCGUUAUUACGGGAAAAUCACAAUCUGAACAGGAUCCUCGUUCAAAUACAUCAACGACCGUGCGAAUAACAGCGGAUUCUCCUGAUCCAUCUAACAGUUUAGCGAGUAACGUGAGCCAGGUAACAGUAGUAACGACUCACCCGCCGGUACUGAUAGACGCGACUUCGACACCGCCGCCGCUGCGUCGUCAAUCACCAAUUUCGGAAGUGGUUAUAGUCGCAAACGAGACGAACAAGACGCAAGUAAACGAGUCUUCGACCGACGACGACGGUUUCACGUCGCUGGACAGCCUUGAGUAUACACCUCACGAGCAGCCGAUCGUAAUAACGGAAGCACCAAAGCGCAUAGGCAAAAAAUUGGAUGAAUCAGAGGUUGUGAUAGUGAGUUCGAUCGUAAACGAUGAAUUGAACGAAGAAUUAACGAAUGAACGGGACACGAGUCACGUAUCGGUGGUGACGGUGGGUGACGAGGGAGAACGGGUGAAGGAUUCUUCAAUAAAUGCAUCGAGCAAGCGCAACGUCGCUCGAACUAUUUCGUCCAACAGUGACAAGUGUACGAACGAUCAUAUGCUGGCGAAUCGGGAAAAUGUCGACGAUUUCACAAGAACGGCGAUGACAGUCGCUGGCACGACUGUUGAAUCAACCGAUGUCGAUGAGGUCCAAGAUGGAAAAUCAAGAAAAAUGAAUGGGCAAUUAAAAACGGAACAGACUGGCCGUAAUCACGAAAUGGCGCGAUCGUCGAGUGGGAAAGUUCGUGAAAAACACGAUUCAAAGGAAAAACGCGCGUCACCUGAUUUUUACGAAGCUUCAAGGUCACAGAGCGAUUCAGGCUCGACGCGUUCGCACACACCUAACAAGAGUAACGAUCGAUCUGAUGCUGAAUCCAUAUCGACUACCACGAGCCAAGAUAGCCGCGGCUCGAAUAAAGAAAAUCACGCUGGACGUGAUUCAAUUCGUCAAUUCCCGGAACACGAAGACGAAGUUGUUCUUCGUCGUAAACCCGAUUACAACCGCGAACAACCGAGACCACCGAGGAGCAAGGAGGAUAUACAAAUGAUGAAUUUGAAGAAAAAGACUCGAAAACGUACCCGAAAGUUUGAGAUCGACGGUGUCGUUGUGACAACAACCACUUCCAAAGUAAUCUAUGGUGAUGACGAGAAUGGGCGCACUUACGAUGAUCAAAUAUUCCGCAAGCAGGAACUGCGGGAGCUCAAAAUGUUACAGAAGAUGGAACAGAAGCAAUUUCAGGAUUUAUCGCAAAAGUCACAUUUCAACAAGGAUCAACAGGAAAGACGUUUCGAGCAAGAGAGACAAUUAUUAGAGCGCGGUGCCGAGGCUGAUCUCGAUACAUUGGCACGGCAACAGAGACAGCAAAUCGAACGUGCAGAAGCUCAGCAAGAGGCCGAUUUGCGUUUGGCUUCGAAAAAAAUUCGUGGCGAGCAGGAACGUGAUUUGAAACAAUUUCGGGAUGGCCUCAAACAAGAAUUACGCUUGCUCAAACAAGAGGUCGACCUUAUGCCUAAAGAACGAAGAAAGAGCGCUUUUAAAAUGCGCAAAGAGAAAUUAGAAGCGGAACACGAAGAGAGAGAAAAACUGUUUCUCGAGAAAUUGAACGAAAGUCACGAGACUUCGCUCAGACGAUUGUCAGACAGUCAUCGUGAAAAAAUCGCCCUUAUGGAACGCCAGUUUUUACAACAGAAACAACAGUUGAUGAGAGCUCGCGAAUCCGCUAUUUGGGAAUUAGAGGACCGUCAAAUUCAUGAGAGGCAACAAUUGUUGAAGAGACAACUCAAAGAUAUUUUCUUCUUGCAACGUCAUCAAAUGCUCAUACGCCAUGAGAAAGAAUUGGAACAGAUGAAACGAAUGAACCAACGCAAGGAAGAAGAAUUGAUCAAGAGACAAACGGUCGAACGUCGCAAUCUACCAAAACGCAUACGCAACGAGAUGAAAGCUCGUGAAAUGAUGUUCCGCGAGUCCAUGCGGAUUUCCAUAAGUUCAGCUUUAGCUACCGAUCCCGAUGCCGAACGGGAUAAGCUCAAAAAGUUUCAGGAAAACGAGAAAAAACGUUAUCGUGCCGAGCAACAGAGAUUCGAACUUAAACACGCCAGACAACUCGAAGAGGUCAGAGCACAGAGCGACGCGACGAUCAAAGAGCUCGAACAGUUGCAGAAUGAGAAGAGAAAAAUGCUCAUGGAGUACGAGACUAUGAAGCUCAAGGAGCAGGAGGAAGCUUAUACGAAAGAGCUUAAAGAAUGGAAGGCACAGUUGACGCCUCGCAAACAGAAAUUAGAAGCUGAACUGGCGAGUCAAAUGGAAGCGUUGGAGGCCCGUUAUCGAGAUUAUUUGCCCUCCCGAUUAUCCUCCCUAUCGUUUGCGGCUUUUACCUUAUCCGCAAUGUCCGCAGCUUCGGCGUGGAAAAAAUCACCUCACAUGUCACGUUCCAUGCCAAAUUCACCUACACCUUUCAGUAUACCGAGGGUUACAUUGCGCGGCAGUGGCUCGGAUACUGGUUCUAUUAACGGUACUCUCCCAAGAUCCCACGACAUCCCGCCCAAUCCGCGCAGAUAAAGUCUCAUUUUUGUAUGGCCCCUUGUACUCAUUUUUGUGUGUGUCUUUCAUUGAAUACGUCCGUGGCAAAACCUUCCUAUGUGCAUUGUAACGUCCAUACUCAUCGUUAUCUCGUUCGUUUCACAAAAGUAUUUGGAUUUUUUUGCGCAACAAAAAAAUUACAAAAGGAGAGCAAACUACGCUUGUUGUUUGUAAUUUGACAAUACAAAUUGCGAAUAACGAUUGUAAUAGUAAUAGAUGAAUCGAUUAUAGAUCGAUUAGAAAGCAACAAUGUCGUUGGAAAAGAUCUCGGAUUAUUGAUUUUUUCUGACGAACAAAAAUCAUUGUCCAUUCCGAAAAUUCAUAACAUUCUUUAUCGCUUAUGUCUUUGUGUUUCUUCCUCUCUUUCUUUCGUUUUGUCCAUCUUCAUGGUCUGUGUGUACGUGUGUUCUUUUUCCAUCAAAAUUCUAUGAAAAUUUAAAAGAUAGCUCGAUAUCAAUGUUGGGUGCAGUUAGAUCAGUGUUUUAGAUACUUAGUAAAGUUUAUUGGAAUUGCACAAAUGCUCAUCAUUAUACACCUGGGUAUGCUUUUGUCAGUCACGAAAAAAAAAAAAAAAAAAAAAAAUCAAAUAAAGUGAUAACAAUGAAUCCCAGUCAAACAUUCCUUAUGAAAGUGAGCCAAUCUAAAACCAGAAUCCAGCAUUGAUUGGAAGGAACGUGUGAUUAAGUUGCAGAAGAGGCUUGAAGAACAAUUUGCGAUGCAACUGGAUGAGCAAGAAGCAAUUUACGGACCGAGUGCUAUACCGCUUUGCUUGCCACCGGAUCUUCCGGAUUUGACUCAUCACACAGCUGGUUCGACCCGAAGUUCUCUGUCGUCAG
rnacentral:misc_RNA from 1 species